UAUUUUAACGUCAGUUAAUGUAAAAAGAUUUGUAUUUUAUAUUUUUUAAUUCUUUAUGAGGGAACACUUGCAAACAAAGCUCGAUCAGGUCGAUCAAAGAAAUUGACUGGAAGAGAAGAGAAAGUUAUCAUUCGUGAAUCAAAAAAAAAUCCUACUAUAUCCGCUCCUUAACUCGCAAAGUACCGCGAAAGGAGCCAUACAUAUAUUAAUGC